rnacentral:rRNA from 1 species
ACGCUCGACACCUACGAGAGGCAGCAGUGGGGAAUAUUGCACAAUGGGGGAAACCCUGAUGCAGCGACGCCGCGUGGAGGAAGAAGGUCUUCGGAUUGUAAACUCCUGUUGUUGGGGAAAAAGAGGAUGGUACCCAACAAGGAAGUGACGGCUAACUACGUGCCAGCAGCCGCGGUAAUCCUGAGCGGGCUGGCAAGGC